rnacentral:rRNA from 1 species
GAUGAACGCUAGCUACAGGCUUAACACAUGCAAGUCGAGGGGAAACGAUAGAGAAAGCUUGCUUUUUCUAGGCGUCGACCGGCGCACGGGUGAGUAACGCGUAUCCAACCUGCCCACCACUUGGGGAUAACCUUGCGAAAGUAAGACUAAUACCCAAUGACGUCCAUAGAAGACAUCUGAAAUGGAUUAAAGAUUUAUCGGUGAUGGAUGGGGAUGCGUCUGAUUAGCCUGUUGGCGGGGUAACGGCCCACCAAGGCGACGAUCAGUAGGGGUUCUGGGAGGAAGGUCCCCCACAUUGGAACUGAGCCACGGUCCAAACUCCUACGGGAGGCAGCAGUGGGGAAUAUUGGUCAAUGGGCGAGAGCCUGAACCAGCCAAGUAGCGUGCAGGAUGACGGCCCUAUGGGUUGUAAACUGCUUUUAUAAGGGAAUAAAGUGGGAGUCGUGACUCCUUUUGCAUGUACCUUAUGAAUAAGGACCGGCUAAUUCCGUGCCAGCCGCCGCAGUAACAC